CAGAUAUUAAAAAGGAGUAUCAACAAUGCCAAGUUAUUGUUCAAAAAGUAGACAUACAACAAGCCGGAACAAUACGAGAACAGAAACGAAAACCAUUAUCUACUAUUAAUUUUGACACCUCAAAUAUUUCAACGAAAUCAGUUAAACGCCGAAAAUAAUUAUAAAAAAUGCAAAGGAAAACUAGCAUUUGAAACUAUUUACAUCAUUUUACAUUAAUUCUGGCAAAGUUUAGCUUCUGUGAUAUUAGAGUAUAGUUUGCCAAGACUGCAAUAAAAAAUUCAUUGAAAAAACGAACAAGAAGAAGAUACCUUAAACGGAUUUAUCAAAGCAACACGAGCAACAAUUUUCUAAUACAGAGUUGUACUAGUUAUGAAGCCUGUACUGUAAGCUGAAACAAAAGAUUUAAUUAUUUGUUUAAGGGAAUGUUAAUUUUCUAGAGAUUUUAUUUUUGUAAGUUUUUCUUUACUUCUUCUUAUUGUCAUACAUUGCGUUGUAAUUUGUAAUGUGGUAUGUAAUAGUCAUAAUUAUACUGCGAUAUAUGUAAAGUGCAAAAGUAGUUGUUACAUAUGUUGUUUUAAAUACUUUAUAACAUACAUUAUUAUUGUCUAACAGUACUUUCAGUUAUUUCCACAUAUAUGUAAAAAAAAAUGUGUAAAACUCAUUUAUUUUUCAAGAUCUGAUUCAAAUUUCUCUUAUAAAAUACUUUGUAUUGUACGUACAAAUAUAUUUUAUGUGGUUCAAUAAAUUUUAUUUACAGUAAAAGA